rnacentral:tRNA from 1 species
GGGAUAUUAGCUCAGGUGGUAGAGCACUUGACUUUUAAUCAAGUUGUCNNUUCGAAUCCCCGAUGUCUCA